UUGUCCUACGGGACGCAGCAGUGGGGAAUAUUGGGCAAUGGAGGAAACUCUGACCCAGCAAUGCCGCGUGAAUGAAGAAGGUCUUCGGAUUGUAAAGGUCUUUAGUCAGGGAAGAAGUCAAUGACGGUACCUGAAGAAUAAGCUCCGGCUAACUACGUGCCAGCAGCCGCGGUAAUACGUAGGGAGCAAGCGUUGUUCGGAAUGACUGGGCGUAAAGGGUGCGUAGGCGGUUGUACAAGUUAGCAGUGAAAGACCCAGGGCUUAACUCGGGUGCUGCUUCGAAA
rnacentral:rRNA from 1 species